rnacentral:tRNA from 1 species
GGGGAUGUGGCUCAGUGGUAGAGAGCUUGCUUUCCAUGUGCAAGGCCCUGGGUUUGAUCCCCAGCAUCACGA